GACGUAGGGUGCGAGCGUUGUCCGGAUUUAUUGGGCGUAAAGAGCUCGUAGGCGGCUCGUCGCGUCGACCGUGAAAACCCACAGCUUAACUGUGGGCUUGCGGUUGAUACGGGCGGGCUAGAGUUCGGUAGGGGAGACUGGAAUUCCUGGUGUAGCGGUGAAAUGCGUAGAUAUCCGGAGGAACACCAGUGGCGAAAGCGGCCACCUGGACUGCACCUGACGCUGACACGCGAAAGCUAGGGGAGCGAACGGG
rnacentral:rRNA from 1 species